GUGGGGAAUUUUGGACAAUGGGCGCAAGCCUGAUCCAGCAAUGCCGCGUGCAGGAAGAAGGCCUUCGGGUUGUAAACUGCUUUUGUACGGAACGAAACGGUCCUGGUUAAUACCUGGGGCUAAUGACGGUACCGUAAGAAUAAGCACCGGCUAACUACGUGCCAGCAGCCGCGGUAAUACGUAGGGUGCGAGCGUUAAUCGGAAUUACUGGGCGUAAAGCGUGCGCAGGCGGUGCUGUAAGACAGGCGUGAAAUCCCCGGGCUCAACCUGGGAAUGGCGCUUGUGACUGCAAAGCUGGAGUGCGGCAGAGGGGGAUGGAAUUCCGCGUGUAGCAGUGAAAUGCGUAGAUAUGCGGAGGAACACCGAUGGCGAAGGCAAUCCCCUGGGCCUGCACUGACGCUCAUGCACGAAAGCGUGGGGAGCAAACAGGAUUAGAAACCCGAGUAGUCC
rnacentral:rRNA from 1 species